UUGGAUUGUUGUCUUAUUUGCUGUUGAGUGGUAUCAGCUGUUGAGCAGGUAAUUUGAACCCCCCGCCUGACUGGGGUUUGGGACCUGGUGAAUGGAAGGUGGUGAAAUGGUGAUCUUCUGGGGAGAAGCUGUGCUCCUCCCUGGGCUUUUUCUCUCCAGAGGUCUCCUGAAUAAACCUGGUAUGUGUGAGGGGCUACACGGGGUCAUUGUUACAAUGGCUCUUUCUGCCGACCCGCGGGACCGAGCACCUCUCUGCCUGUUUUCACCACGGGUGCAGCCUUUGCCAAGACUGCGAGACCCCCCUCCCAUGGGACACCACACACCUCUGGCUUUCCCAAGACGACGAGACCACCCCUCCCGUGGGACACCACACACCUCCAGCUUUCUCAAGAUUACGAGACCACCAGAGUCCAGCUGCAGUAUGAAGACCUGAUGAAAAGCCAGAUCUGGUGAAUCAAGUCUGAUAGAUUGAUAUAAAGAAAACUCUUCCAGAGAUCCCUCCUGGGCCCCUGGGUAAAGGAUCUGUCUUUGUCCCUGCGGUAUGUUUAGAAUCUUCUGAGGCUUGAAAUCCGUCGAUGGGCUGACAAGUCACAUAUGUUUCAGGGUCGCAUAGAACCCCAACUGCUAUAAAGGUUACAGUUAUUACCCUGUGGAACCACCCUCCGCUGCCACACCACAGUCAUGAAGUCUGCAUCCGCGGCUGACAUGGACACCUGGGAGGCUGUGCAGCAUCUCGAGAAUCCCCUCAGGGUCAAGUUCCAGGGACUCCCGUCGUCAUCGCCAGAGAACGCUAAGCCCUGCUCUGGCCACCCCUGGAAGCUGGUCAGUCUACACACGGCAGAAGCCCGAGGAGUUCUACGUGAGACUUAACUUGGACUUGCGUUCUGUCUACAGAUGUGGGAAGCAAGCGAUUCGGGAAGUAGUGAAGAAAGGAAGUUGCGGGAUCUGUUUUUGUCCUCCUGUAAAAACAAAAAGGGGGAGAUGUCGUGAGACAUGUUUUUCCAAUCUUCUUGAUCAGCCACUGUCUCGAGACAUGUUUUUCCAAUCUUCUUGUUUGACUACCCACCCAUAGCCCCUCCUCAUGUGAUCUCAUCAAAAGAGUGAAGUAAAAGCGGUGUGGUUUCUUGAGGCGGGGCUCUUGGUCCCGGAGACCUUGAGU